rnacentral:rRNA from 1 species
AUUGAACGCUGGCGGCAGGCUUAACACAUGCAAGUCGAACGAGUGGCGGACGGGUGAGUAAUGCUUGGGAAUCUAGCUUAUGGAGGGGGAUAACUACGGGAAACUGUAGCUAAUACCGCGUACCAUAGGAUGAGCCCAAGUGGGAUUAGGUAGUUGGUGAGGUAAAGGCUCACCAAGCCGACGAUCUCUAGCUGGUCUGAGAGGAUGACCGGCCACACUGGGACUGAGACACGGCGCAGACUCAUACGUGAGGCAGCAGUGUGGAAUAUUGCACAAUGGGCGCAAGCCUGAUGCAGCCAGGCCGCGUGUAUGAAGAAGGCCUUCGGGUUGGAAAGUUCUUUCAGUCGGGAGGCGUUACCGACAGAAGAGGCACCGGCUAACUCCGUGCCAGCAGCCGCGGUAAU